rnacentral:misc_RNA from 1 species
GAUGAAGAACGUAGCGAAAUGCGAUAAGUAAUGUGAAUUGCAGAAUUCAGUGAAUCAUCGAAUCUUUGAACGCACAUUGCGCCCGCCAGUAUUCUGGCGGGCAUGCCUGUUCGAGCGUCAUUUCAACCAUCAAGCCCCAGGCUUGUGUUGGGGACCUGCGGCUGCCGCAGGCCCUGAAAACCAGUGGCGGGCUCGCUGUCACACCGGGCGUAGUAGAUUUUAUCUCGCUCUGGGCGUGCUGCGGGUUCCGGCCGUUAAAAAACCCUUUUAGCCCAAGGUUGACCUCGGAUCAGGUAGGAAUACCCGCUGAACUUAAGCAUAUCAAUAAGCGGAGGA